AGUUGGUGGAGUGAUUUGUCUGGUUAAUUCCGUUAACGAACGAGACCUCAGCUUGCUUUAUAGUGUAGCAAAUGGUUUUUCAUUUGUUUUUUAACACUUCAAAGAGGGACAUUUCGGUUUUACCGGAAGGAAGUUUGAGGCAAUAACAGG
rnacentral:rRNA from 1 species